rnacentral:rRNA from 1 species
UACGGGGGGGGCAAGCGUUGUUCGGAAUUACUGGGCGUAAAGGGCGCGUAGGCGGCCCUCUAAGUCAGACGUGAAAUCCCCGGGCUCAACCACGGGCCUGCAUCCGAUACUGGCGGGCUCGAGGCAGGCAGGGGAGAUCGGAAUUCCUGGUGUAGCGGUGAAAUGCGCAGAUAUCAGGAGGAACACCGGUGGCGAAGGCGGGUCUCUGGGCCGAUACUGACGCUGAGGAGCGAAAGCGUGGGGAGCGAACAGG